UUUUUUCUUGAUUUGAAGAUUAUUUAACAUAUUUUUUCGAUCUGAAAACGUUCUUGAGAGAAUUCAAUAAUUAGUUCAGUGAAAAAUUUCGCUCCAAGUUAUUUCAUGUCUUAUAUAUCGAUGACCACUAAAAUAAGUUCAAAAUUCUAAAAGACAUAACAUUUUCGGGCUAGGUUACUUAGUUUGUAAUAUUUAAAGCAUACAGUAGCUUUCAUAUAUACAUAAAAAGAAAAUCUUAAUUUUCAUAAAUAACCCUCCAAACUAUUUGAAGGUCGAAUCAAACUCAAGAAUCAUUUGAGUAGUAUACACGUUAUUGCAAAUUAAUGAAAGCAAAUAAAAUUUACAGAAGUCUUACAAAAAAACAUAUUAUCGAUGUUUAAUCUAAAAAAGGAUAACAUCAUAACCUUAAUUUUAGUCUUUUUUCUAAUUUAUCUUCAAAUUCCAUCGAAUCAUAUUUAACAAAUAAUAAAACAUUUCACUUAAACUCAAAAGAAAUCAAACGAGUUCGUAUAUUUUGAAAAUGAAGAAUAACGUUACUUUCUUAAAAUGGCAUAUGAUGUUCAAAGCAUACACACAAUAUAAUAUAUCAAACACCAUGUAACGAGUAAAAGAAAAUUUUAUUUCCAUUUAUUAGAUUGUUUUAUACAUUCUUUUCACCCUUCAAGAAUUUGAAAAAAAUAUGAUCUUCCCUUCAACGUGUCGUUCGAUUNAUAUAUGUAUCAUAAUUACUUCUGAGUUAUGCAUGGACCAAUAACUCAGACACUAACCUAACCAGGGCCUUUGCUGACAUGGGGUGUUUAAAAUUAGCAUAGGUUUUAUAUUUUGUGGAUUUGGUAAAACUAUCAAAUGUAACACCACUAAGUACCAUCAACAUAUCAAAGUGUUGGUGAUCAGGUUUUAUUAUUAUUCAUUACGAUGUUUACGCCUAUUUGCAUUCGUUUAUUUGUUUACUGUUUAUAUGUAUGUUUAUGUUAAUAUAUGUUCACUUAUUUUUAUUUGUCUUCAAUUGUUUAUGAUUCUUUAACUUAGUUUGAUUAAAAAACAUAAACGAAAGAAGAUGAACACAAUCAUUUAUGUUAGUUUAAAAACAAGUUGUUAGGAUCCGACUUAUAUAUGUCAUGUGGGUAUUGGCCAAUUCAAGAAAAUGUUUAAGAUCCCAUUUAUUAUAAACCAAAGGGCAUGUCAUAAGUGCAUUAGACCAAUAGUCGAGCCAAAAUUAGUGUCAUACUACAAAUAUUGCCACUUAUUUUCCCACCCAGAUAAUUGGAACAAGUUGGACCAGAAACUUAUUCUCGAAUAAAUACGCUACUUACCCUCAUAACUAAAAAUAGUUGUAUGAAGAAAAUCGUGUGAUUAGAACUAUUCUAUUUCAUAUUGAGCCAAAUUUAGUUUGAAUGGGUUACGAGGUGCAUAAAUCCUACACUCUUUAGAUGAUUUCAAGUCUAAGGGCAGUGUCCUUCUUGGGUCCCUAGGGCAUUUCCCUGGCUCAUAAAAGCAUGUAUUUCUGUGAAUUAUGCGCUUCUAGAACAUAGAAUAAUAUAUACAUAUGUUUAGUGCAAUCCAAAACUAAUAGAGUCAAAAUUACAUAUUUCAGAGAAAGUAUCAGAAAUCCCAAUUUUUUUUUUUAUAUUUGUUACCUGUUUUUUUAAUUAAUUAAACCACAUACAUGACAUCAACACAAAAACAAGUAUAGUGACCUACACCUAAGUACAAUACAAAAAUUAUGAGCCAAGAAAAUUACAUAAAGAAAAACUAAUAAAACCGAUAAUCACCGACCAAAACUGCAUCAUGUCAAGUUAGCAGUAAUAUUUACGGCUAAAUAUUAUGGUUCUCAUCAAAGUGUCUUUAAUCUAUACCCUUCAAAGGAAGUAUACUCACGAUUCCCAAUGCGAGUUUCAAUCAAAAGCCAACUUGGUACAUAAUUCGUAAUUUGGGAUCCAAGGAUUUACACUAGCAUUUCACCCAAAAUCUUAUGGUUCACGACAACCAUUCACUAAAUUUGGAUAUAGAAAAUUUAUAAUAUAAAGUCCUUACUUCCAAACAUCAUAAUGCUUAGAAAAAGUAUUGAACACAUGAUUGUGAAAUACGCUUAAAAUUUUGAACAUAUUAAUAGGAAAUUCAUAUAGUGAAAAUGAUUUCCUACACGAAUUUUAUACAUAAACGAAAGAAGAUGAACAUAAUCAUUUAUGUUAGUUUAAAAACAAGUUGUUAGGAUCCGACUUAUAUAUGUCAUGUGGGUAUUGGCCAAUUCAAGAAAAUGUUUAAGAUCCCAUUUAUUAUAAACCAAAGGGCAUGUCAUAAGUGCAUUAGACCAAUAGUCGAGCCAAAAUUAGUGUCAUACUACAAAUAUUGCCACUUAUUUUCCCACCCAGAUAAUUGGAACAAGUUGGACCAGAAACUUAUUCUCGAAUAAAUACGCUACUUACCCUCAUAACUAAAAAUAGUUGUAUGAAGAAAAUCGUGUGAUUAGAACUAUUCUAUUUCAUAUUGAGCCAAAUUUAGUUUGAAUGGGUUACGAGGUGCAUAAAUCCUACACUCUUUAGAUGAUUUCAAGUCUAAGGGCAGUGUCCUUCUUGGGUCCCUAGGGCAUUUCCCUGGCUCAUAAAAGCAUGUAUUUCUGUGAAUUAUGCGCUUCUAGAACAUAGAAUAAUAUAUACAUAUGUUUAGUGCAAUCCAAAACUAAUAGAGUCAAAAUUACAUAUUUCAGAGAAAGUAUCAGAAAUCCCAAUUUUUUUUUUUAUAUUUGUUACCUGUUUUUUUAAUUAAUUAAACCACAUACAUGACAUCAACACAAAAACAAGUAUAGUGACCUACACCUAAGUACAAUACAAAAAUUAUGAGCCAAGAAAAUUACAUAAAGAAAAACUAAUAAAACCGAUAAUCACCGACCAAAACUGCAUCAUGUCAAGUUAGCAGUAAUAUUUACGGCUAAAUAUUAUGGUUCUCAUCAAAGUGUCUUUAAUCUAUACCCUUCAAAGGAAGUAUACUCACGAUUCCCAAUGCGAGUUUCAAUCAAAAGCCAACUCGGUACAUAAUUCGUAAUUUGGGAUCNGGUAAAACUAUCAAAUGUAACACCACUAAGUACCAUCAACAUAUCAAAGUGUUGGUGAUCAGGUUUUAUUAUUAUUCAUUACGAUGUUUACGCCUAUUUGCAUUCGUUUAUUUGUUUACUGUUUAUAUGUAUGUUUAUGUUAAUAUAUGUUCACUUAUUUUUAUUUGUCUUCAAUUGUUUAUGAUUCUUUAACUUAGUUUGAUUAAAAAACAUAAACGAAAGAAGAUGAACACAAUCAUUUAUGUUAGAUUAAAAACAAGUUGUUAGGAUCCGACUUAUAUAUGUCAUGUGGGUAUUGGACAAUUCAAGAAAAUGUUUAAGAUCCCAUUUAUUAUAAACCAAAGGGCACGUCAUAAGUGCAUUAGACCAAUAGUCAAGCCAAAAUUAGUGUCAUACUACAAAUAUUGCCACUUAUUUUCCCACCCAGAUAAUUGGAACAAGUUGGACCAGAAACUUAUUCUCGAAUAAAUACGCUACUUACCCUCAUAACUAAAAUUAUUUGUAGGAAGAAAAUCGUGUGAUUAGAACUAUUCUAUUACAUACUGAGCCAAAUUUAGUUUGAAUGGGUUACGAGGUGCAUAAUUCCUACACUCUUUAGAUGAUUUCAAGUCUAAGGGCAGUGUCCUUCUUGGGUCCGUAGGGCAUUUCCCUGGCUCAUAAAAGCAUGGAUUUCUGUGAAUUAUGCGCUUCUAGAACAUAGAAUAAUAUAUACAUAUGUUUAGUGCAAUCCAAAACUAAUAGAGUUAAAAUUACAUAUUUCAGAGAAGUAUCNGAGUUAAAAUUACAUAUUUCAGAGAAAGUAUCAGAAUUCCAAUGUUUUUUUUUUCAUAUUUGUUACCUGUUUUUUAAUUAAUUAAACCACAUACAUGACAUCAACACAAAAACAAGUAUAGUGACCUACACCUAAGUACAAUACAAAAUUUAUGAGUUAAGAAAAUUACAUAAAGAAAAACUAAUAAAACGAAUAAUCACCGACCAAAACUAUAUCAUGUCAAGUUAGCAAUAUUAUUUACGGCUAAAUAUUAUGGUUCUCAUCAAAGUGUCGUUAAUUUAUACCCUUCAAAGGAAGUACACUCACAAUUCCCAAUGCGAGUUUCAAUGAAAAGCCAACUUGGUAUAUAAUUCGUAAUUUGGGAUCCAAGGAUUUACACUACCAUUUCACCCAAAAUCUUAUGGUUCACGACAACCAUUCACUAAAUUGGGAUAUAGAAAAAUUAUAAUAUAAAGUCCUUACUUCCAAACAUCAUAAUGCUUAGAAAAAGUUUUGAACACAUGAUUGUUAAACACCAUUCACUAAAUUGGGAUAUAGAAAAAUUAUAAUAUAAAGUCCUUACUUCCAAACAUCAUAAUGCUUAGAAAAAGUUUUGAACACAUGAUUGUGAAACACGCUUAAAAUUUUGAACCUGUUAAAAGGAAAUUCUUAUGGUGAAAAUGAUUUCCUACAUGGAUUUUAUACAUAAUUGAGCAAUACGAUUUGUUUUCCAUAGAUGGACUUUAUUUAGGGACUAAAAAGAUUGUUUUAUACAUUCUUUUCACCCUUCNCAGAGAGUAAAAGUUUUAUAUGUUUUUUUUUUGUGCAGAUUAUUUAAAAUAUUUUUUCGAACGUUCUUGAGAGAAUUCAAAAAUUGACUUAGUAAAAAAUUUCGCUCCAAAUUAUUUCAUGUGUUAUAUAUCGAUGACCACUAAAACAAGUUCAAAAUUUUAAAAAACAUAACAUUUUCGGGAUAGGUAAUUUAGUUUGUAAUAUUUAAAGGAUACAAUAGCUUUCUUAUAUACAUCAUGAGAAAAUGUUAAUUUUCAUGAAUAACCCUCCCAAGUAUUUGAAGGUCGCCUCAAACUCAAGAAUCAUUUGAGUAGUAUACACAUAAUUGCAAAUUAAUGGAAGCAAAGAAACAUUACAGAAGUCUUACAAAAAAACCAUAUUAUCGAUGUUUAAUCUAAAAAAGGAUAACAUCAUAACCUUAAUUUCAAUCUUUGUUCUAAUUUAUUUUCAAAACCCAUCAAAUCAUAUUUAACCAACAAUAAAACAUUUCAUUUAAACUCAAAAGAAAUCAAAUCUUUUUUUUCUAUAGAUGGACUUAAUUUCAAUCUUUUUUCUAAUUUAUUUUCAAAAUCCAUCAAAUCAUAUAUAACCAACAAUAAAACAUUUCACUUGAACUCAAAAGAAAUCAAACGAUAAGUUUUCCAUACAUGGACUUUAUUUAGGGAUUAAAAAGAUCGAAAACUGUAUAAUAUAAUUAAAAGAAGAGAGAGUAGAAGAUUUAUAUGUUUUUUUUCUUGAUUUGAAGAUUAUUAAACAUAUUUUUUUCGAUCUGAAAACGUUCUUGAGAGAAUUCAAUAAUUAGUUCAGUGAAAAAUUUCGCUCCAAGUUAUUUCAUGUCUUAUAUAUCGAUGACCACUAAAAUAAGUUCAAAAUUCUAAAAGACAUAACAUUUUCGGGUUAGGUUACUUAGUUUGUAAUAUUUAAAGGAUACAGUAGCUUUCUUAUAUACAUAAAAAGAAAAUGUUAAUUUUCAUAAAUAACCCUCC
rnacentral:lncRNA from 1 species